rnacentral:lncRNA from 1 species
AAGAUCCGGAGCUCCGGAGCUGAGGCUACCACGACGUAAAGUUUACGAACUCGGGUGAGAAGGGUUGGGAUUUGUCAUCUGGAGAGAAGUAGUGAAAGGGAGGAGGGUGGCCAACAAGAAAACGAACAGAGCACCCGGUUCCGGAGUUUUAAGCCUCAGAAUCUGAGCGUUUAAGAAUCAAAUGGGACCUCAGUAAGUAGCAGAUAAUUGCUAAUCAUCUGGGUGUUUCUUCCUUUUACGUUAGAUAUGUAAGUAAGAAUGAGUCAAACAAAAAACCUGUUCUCCAGGAGCUCACAACCUUGUCAAGACAUAACCAUAUAGUUGUUACUGGGGAGGCACUUGUUAAAUAUUAAGUAAGAAUUAGCAGAAUGGAGCUGUUGCUUUGAUUAAGACGAGCAUGUGUGUGACGUUUUAAAGAGAGCAAGUAUUCCAAGCAGAAGAAAUAGCAUGAGAAGAUAGGAAGAAAACUUAAGCGAUGAUAGAUUGGAAAGCCACUGUGGCUAGAAAUGAGUUAGGAUUCAUGGAAUUAUAUGAGUAGGAUAUUGAAGAAAAAGUCAGAUCUGAGGCGAAAUUACUAGAUCAAGACAGCCCUGGCAUGAGCAUAAUGCCUGAGAUACCAACAUUUGGGAGGCAGAAGGAUCUGGAGUUAAGGGUUGGGCUAAACAACACAGUAAGAACUUCAUCUCAAAAAUACUUUCUUGGGGACCAGCAAGAUGGCUCAGUGUUGGAGCUGGAGGUAUGGCUCGAAGAUUAAGAGAGCUUUUUCAGGAGACCCAGGUUGAGUUCCCAACACUCACGUGACAGUUCAAAAUCGUUUGGAACUCCAUUUCCAGAAGAUCUGACACCCUCUUCUGGCUUCCUCCAGCACUAGGCACACAGGUAGUACAUAUAUGUGCAUGCAGGCAAAAUAUUCUUACACAUAAAAUAUAAAUCCUCGGGGUGGGUUGGGGGGAGAAGCUCAGUGGGCAGUUGCUACCAAGCCUAGUGGCGUGCAUUCCGUCUCCAGAACUCGUAUGGUGGAGGGAGAAUCUGACUCUGCAAGCUCUCUUCUGACCCCUGCACAUCCACCCACACACAAAUAAAUGUAAAAAAUAAAUUUAACCAGGCAUGGUGGCGCACACCUUUAAUCCCAGCACUUGGGAGGCAGAGGCAGGCGGAUUUCUGAGUUCGAGGCCAGCCUGGUCUACAGAGUGAGUUCCAGGACAGCCAGGACUACACAGAGAAACCCUGUCUUGAAAAAAACCAAAAUAAAUAAAUAAAUAAAUUUAAUAAAAAAUACCGGCUAGCUUGGGUUACAUAGCAAAUACAAGGUCAGCAAGGACUAUGUAGCAAGAUCGUGUCUUUUAAAAAAAAAGAAUCUUGAGAGACCCUUACCUAAAGACAUUCAGAUAUCAUUAAACACUUGUUACUAAUGAAUUAUUGAACCUGAAUGAUAAAUACAUAAGAGUUCAUUUACUUUCUUGUGUUUUUGCAGAUAUUUAAAGUUUUAACCUAGUCCAAGCGUGGUGGGGCAUUCCUUUAAUCCCUGCACUUGGUAGGUAGAGCUAGGUGAUUCGCUGUGAGUUUAGAUACCUGGUUUACAGUUCCAGGUUUACAGUUACAGUUCCAGGACGAUCAGAGCUGCUCUACAGGGAAACCCUGCCUUGAAAAGCCCUAAUAAAUAAAAUUUUAGUCUGGAGAGCUGAUUGAGUGAAUGAAGUAUGGUUUUUUUGGUGUGUGCAGAGCCUGAAUUCAGAUCCCCAGCACCCACAUAGAAAUGCCAGGAGGCUGGCUGUAGUGAUGAAACCCUUUAAUCCUGCAUCCAGGAGGCAGGGGCCAACCUGGGCUGCAUAGCAAGUUCUAAGUUCUAGCCAAGACAGU